UGCAAGUCGGAGGGCCGCAGGCCGUGGCGUAAGGGUGAGUAAGGCGACGGCAAUCAACCCCACGGUUGGGUAUAGCCGCGAGAAAUCGCGGGUAAUCCCCAGCGACGCAGGGCGUCGGCAUCGACGCCCUGCCAAAGGCUCGCCGCCGUGGGACGAGCCGUCGUGGUAUUAGGUCGUUGGCGGGGUAACGGCCCACCAAGCCUGCGAUGCCUACCGGGCGUGCGAGCGUGGCCCGGCACACUGGGACUGAGACACUGCCCAGACUCCUACGGGAGGCUGCAGUCGAGAAUCUUCGGCAAUGGGCGCAAGCCUGACCGAGCGACGCCGCGUGGAGGACGAAGGCCUUCGGGUUGUAAACUCCUGUCGAGGGGAAGGAAGGGGCCGCAAGGCCCUUGACCGCUCCCUGGAGGAAGCACGGGCUAAGUUCGUGCCAGCAGCCGCGGUAAGACGAACCGUGCGAACGUUAUUCGGAAUCACU
rnacentral:rRNA from 1 species